rnacentral:rRNA from 1 species
GAUGAACGCUGGCGGCGUGCUUAACACAUGCAAGUCGAACGGUGAAGCCAAGCUUGCUUGGUGGAUCAGUGGCGAACGGGUGAGUAACACGUGAGCAACCUGCCCUGGACUCUGGGAUAAGCGCUGGAAACGGCGUCUAAUACUGGAUAUGAGCCUCUUCCGCAUGGUGGGGGUUGGAAAGAUUUUUUGGUCUGGGAUGGGCUCGCGGCCUAUCAGCUUGUUGGUGAGGUAAUGGCUCACCAAGGCGUCGACGGGUAGCCGGCCUGAGAGGGUGACCGGCCACACUGGGACUGAGACACGGCCCAGACUCCUACGGGAGGCAGCAGUGGGGAAUAGUGCACAAUGGGCGAAAGCCUGAUGCAGCAACGCCGCGUGAGGGAUGACGGCCAUCGGUUUGUAAUCCUCUUUUAGCAGGGAAGAAGCGAAAGUGACGGUACCUGCAGAAAAAGCGCCGGCUAACUACGUG